CUCUGAUCAGCUGGGAUGUACAGACCGUCCGACUGAGGGUAAGGUUACUAUGAGAGCAGCAGCUGUGAGCCGCACGGAACCAGCCCAACACCGCGCUCACCCAGCAGAGCAGCGAGAGGAUCCAGUGACGUGUUCAGAGUGGUUGGUGAUUCUGUUCAGCUGGAGAUAAAUGGAUCUGUAUCAGAGUUUGAUGAGUUUUUCUGGGUGUUUAGUGGAUCUGUUCCUGUUCUAAAAUAUUAUAAACAAUAUAAAGAUAUUAAGCCCUCCCCCCCUUAUAAAGACAGAGUGGAGUUUAUUGAGGAAACCUGCAGCCUGACCCUGAAGAAUCCACAGAAGACUGAUAAUGGACUGUAUGAAGUAAAAGCAUCCAAUACAGAAAAGACAACUACAUUAUGUGCGCAUCGACUCUCUGUUUUAGAUGCAGUGUCGCCCCCUGCUGGUGGAUCUGUGUGUUUAGUGAAGACUGGACUGUAUUCCAUCAUUCUGAUCACCAAUCACAUCCGAGAGAGACGCAACAAAUCAUCCAAAACUCAUUAAUUUUCAGUGAUUAUUAUUCUGAUCAUAGUUCUGUUAUUAUGGUCUGGAGUAAAAAAUCAGUUUAAACACUCCUCUCUUUAAUUUAUCACAUGAUAGCAGCGGUUUUAUAGAUUCAAAUUUGACUGAAACGAUUGUGUUCACAAUUUCUUUAAUUCAAGUGAAAGAUUUCUUUAU